AUAAAAUUGUAAUGUUUGUAAUUUGUUACAUGAUUUUUAUUAGUACAUGAUUGCAGUACAUAAUGAUUUAAUUCAUGGUGAAAUAGGUACAUUUAAUGUGUAAAAUGGAAAUUGGGCCAUACCUGGGUGCAUUAUGGUGGGAUCUGUAGAGCAUAGAUUGUUCUCAAAGUCGCUUCUGUGGAGUACAUGGUCCCUGUCCCCAGGCAUUCCACCUCAAGUCCACACUGUCUGGAUGAUCCUUUCUUCAUGGCAAAUGCAUUUGGUAGCAGUGCACAGUGUGAGAGCCAUACAGCAUCUGGCCGGGAAGGGGUAUGUGCAGUCAGGGAGGGGGCCUAGGACAGCCUGGUGCAGGUCAUGAGCUGUGGGAUGUUCAUGGAGACUGAUAAGAUGGUUCCUGCAGCUUUUGUGGGCACAGGCUCAAGCAUGGGGCUGUGUGCAGCUCCUACAGCUUAGGAAGGAUUCUUGGGGACAGAGCAGAACAGGGCUCACUGGGACAGGCUUGUCCUACUCACUGUCCAGCUGACCCUGCUGAAAGGUGGAAAGAAGGGGUGUCUCAGCACAUCGGGGCAGUGUGGGAGGGAGGUCAGGGCAGAGCCUGAAGUCACCACCCCAACUGGGUGCUGGAAUGAUGAUUACACAGAUUCACUGCCCGCUUGGGGAAAAUCACCCUGCUGGUGGAAUCCUCACUCUUCACCAGAGAUACCAAACCACCUCAAGUCCUAAAGGUGGAAACCCAGGCAUAGAGGUCCAUUUUGGAGUUUGUGUUUCAAAAAUCCUUAGAGAAGCCUGUUAAGGUGGUACAGAUCUAUAAUCCCAGGACUGAGGGAUUAGUACAGUCCCUGGGAGGCUAAAGCAAGCAGAUCAGAAGUUUGAAUCCAGGCUGGGUAAAUCAGCUACUUAGUGAGAUUCUGUGACAAAACUAAAAAAUGGGCUGGCGAUGUAGCUCACUGAGAAAGUCCUAGGUUCAAUCCCCAGUACUAAAAACCAAUUAUUGAUUUGUAUAGUACCUAGGUCAAGAGUCCUACAGUUUCCAUGGGGCAAAAUUGGACCAAUCAUCCCUUGGAACCUUGAGCCCCUGGUGUCCAGGAUGCUCUGAGAUUUCAUAUUUUAAAAAUAAAAUUCAAUCAAAAUCUAGAGAACGAUUUUUCUUCACCCAGGAGAAGUGGGGCUGUGGUGUCCUGGCCCACAGUCUUCUGAAACCCAUGAGUCCUUUCCUGGAUUAUGUGGCUAGGGAGAAAUCUGAUUGCACUGAUGUGGAAAACUUAGAAUACGUGAAUUAUGGGGAUAUAAUAGGAGUGGUGGCCAGGGACUAGGUGCAGGAGAGAAGCGAGGAACCACUCAAUGGUACAACACUGAUUAAAAUGCCCUGGACCUGGACAGAGGUGUCAAGUUCACAACACUGAGCAGGCACUUCGUGCUGCCAGGCUGAUCUUUUUAAACAACAGUAAAAUCUAAAGUUUUAUUUAAAAAUAAGCCUAUCAUGUACAUAAAUCCAGAAAAUAAGUGGAAAAGUAAAGAAGAAAACAUGAGCAACGGUAAUAGAGGGGAGUGGCAGGUGUGGGGCAGGACCUGGCCCCAGGGGGAGGCCAGGAGCUGACACUUGCUGAGGAGCCACCAGGACCCCGCCUUGUGCAGCUGGAGGAGAAGGGCUUCCUGGUGCUCCUUCUGGCUGUGGUGCCAGAGCUGGGGAGGGAGCUGCAGGUGGAGCUGGCACAGGCUCUGCAGCUGGGACUUCAGCUUUGACUGGAGCUACUCCUGCAGUUGAAAGAGAAGUUCACCAACUGUCCAUGUUUCUUCCUGGGGCACAACCUUCCCACUGCCUGUUAGAGAGCUCUGUGCAGGAAGCCUCCCCCAGAAAGUCCCCCCAGACUGCAUCAGCCCACUGACUGCUGAGUGACACAAGGUUACUGAGACACCCAGCACCAGAAUGCUCUCUGUGUCCAAAGGCCCCUCCCUCCCCACAUGCCCAUAGGCUCACACCACAGUCCUCACCCUUGGGCUCUGCCUCAGUUGGCUAGGCAUGCUCUAGCUGGGCCAGGAGGUCAGGCACCUGGGAGCGCAGCUCCAGCAAGGAGUCAAGGACAGAGGACAUGGAGCUGGGGAAGGCAGGUAGGCAGAGUGAGAGGUCUGGCCAUUCCUCCCACACUGCCGAGUGAACAUGCAGGGAAGGACCAGUGAGCCUCCUGCCCAGUCUGCACAUGCUCCAGCCCCACCGUCUCCCACCCUCAGUAGAGCAGUCCUGGCAACCUUUCUAAUGUGAUGGUUCCCAGUCACCUGGUAGAUCUGGUUAAUGCAACUCUGUUGGCUUUUCCUGAAGUGCUACCAGUUCAUCCUGUGGUGUUAUUAGAACAGAUUCACAUGGCUACUGACCUGAUUUGAUGUGCCUUCUACUGUGUUGUUACAACCCUCUCAGCUUCAUAGUCUUGUUUCAGAAAGGCUCAGUGGGAAGGAGUCUUUGUUCAGUGGUGUGACUGCCUCUGUCUUCAGGGCAGCUGGACACUGUCUCCCUGCCUGUCCCCACUGUCAGCUCCAUGAGGACAGAGUCUGGUCUCUGCUGUAUGAUUGUACUCAAGGGCACAGGGCUGCUGCUCCAUAACUGAGAAGUGAGGGACAGUACGCAUCUCUGCUGCCUUGCCUCUCCUCAGGCUUUAGAGUAUGUAGUGCUGUGUUGCCCGGUGUCUGUGCCUCCUCUGGACUCCCUUUGCACUGCUGUGAAUCCACAUCUAGGGAGGAAAGGAGGGGCUUCAUCUACUGUAAUUUGAGUAAUAUCUGCUCUGAUUGUGACUGUGUAGAUACCAAAUAUCACUGAAACUCAAAAGGGCAGUGGUUGCAUCUGCUGUGGAUAUUGGUUCAUGAUCAUUACCUGGAAAAGUGUUUGCACAUAGUUUGUCUUCAUGUAUGUUGGUAAAGUGAUGUAGCCACCUGCUCUUCCAUGAUGUCUGAGUGAGCCUGGGUCCUUUGCACACCCCAAGGUUUCCUGCUCUGGGAACACUGUGAAACCAAUAGUGAUUCUGCACACUUUACAGUGACCAGCACAAUUAUCCCUAAGUGCAGGGCUCAGUCAGGGGGAUUCACAGCUGUGCAGAGGGCAUGGAAGAUCAUCUGUGGGAAUCAGCAGGGCUGUCUUAGCUGAUCUUCCAUGAGAGGAAGGCCAUGGUCAAUCCUUACAGUAGAGACCCCAUUCCAUCACACAGUCACAAUGUGAGCUUCAUUUUCUCAGAACUCCAUUGAUCAGAGUUGCAAGUGAGGCUGAGAGGGGCUUGCACCUUCCCAAGACUUGGAGCUAUAGUGGCCAAGUCCACCUUGGUGCCGAGAACAGAACUCACCUUCCCACCAUCCCCUCCUGUGGGGACGAAAUGCAGGCCCUUCUGGGGUCCAGGAAGGAGGGCCCAUUGAUGGGCCAGCUAUGCAGGAAGGCCUGCUGGGGGGGCCUCCCUCAGGGUGUCUGGCAUGCCUGCCUGUGCUGUCCUCACUGUGCAGACCUCUGCCAGGCUCUGGGCCGCCUGAUUUCCAGUCUGUGAAGGAACAGUGGGGAGACAUGGAAUUGGCAUCCCACCCAUGACUCAUUGGGAGUGAUGGAGGAUUAAGCCUUGAUCAAACUCUGAAUUGUCUAUAGUGGCUCCUACCAGGAGGGCACAGGAGGAUCCUCAUAUUAGAGUUAAAUUUCAGAAGAGACACCUAGAAAUACUAGCAUUUCAGGCCAGCUUGUUAGCCGAGGAGAGGUUGUGUGUAACUCCUUGCAUUAAAAGCAACAUCCCAUGGGUCCUGAGACCCCUCCCAGGGUAGAGAUGAGGAAUCAGCCACAUGGAUGCCUGGGCCAGGAGUUACAGUGAGGUGAAAUGGCUGAAUGCAAUCAUGGCAAGAUUGAAGUGACACCUUGUCCACGUCCUUUUCUUGGGUCUCCUCCAGCAUGUGGAUGGUGACUUUGCCCCGGCCAAGGUGGAGGCUGAGCAGAGAGGAUGUGGAUCUUGGUGACAUGGGACCCAGAUACCUUUGGGAGCAGGACCCUGGCCCACUGUUACCAAGCCCUGCAGGCAAGAGGUGAAGGUGUUGUCUGUCCCCGAGGGCCCUCUCUGUCCCCCUGUGGCCUCAGGACAGAGUCCCCUCUUCUCACAUACACACCGUGGGCCUGAGCUGGCACCUGUUAUUAUUGUGGCCCCAGUGUCUGUCACAGGCACAUGGCACACAAGCCCCAGUGACAGCUCCAGCCCGAUGUCCUGAUGUCCUAUGUGCAGUUCUGGUGGGACAGUGUCCAGCAGCUGGCAGGCAGCAUGAGGCUCUGCCUUGUCACAGUUUGUGGUGUUUUUGCCCCCGGUAACCCUGUGCUCCCCAAAUGCAAACAGCUGUGUCACAGGCUUCUACCCCAAGAGGACAGGAGAUGGCUCUGGAGGCUGUGAAUCAUCACUGGGCAGUGGCCUUCUCCUCCUGCCAGCCCUGUCAUGGCUGAGAUGUGACAGGACCCUGGGCUCACAGCCUCCCAGCACCUGCUCCUGCCCAGGAGGAGCUUCUCCCCUGACCCUGUCCUCCCACCUCCCACACAGAGUGAAGACCCAGGGUGGGAGUGGUGCUGGGGACUCACAGUGGUGGGCAGGCCUAAAUGUUCUUGUCCUGGACUUGGUGUCUCAGAGUACCUGGUGGCCAGUCCCAGGGAGACCUGCCCUGGGCUCCCUAUCAUCUCAGGCCCCGAGGUCUCUGGGUGUGGUGAGACCUGCCCUGUGCUGCCCAUGAGGACUGGGUGGUUCUUCGUGAGUGGCCUGUAGUAUCUGAACUUAGUCAUCCAUCCCCUUGUUCCCAAGUGCUUUCCCUGUGCAGGGUCCUGAGGCUGUGGCCUGGAGGCCUUGGAAAGCAGCACGACAUGUUCACUGGUGACUCUCUCCAGCCAAGUGACUGUUAGGCAGCCUUGGUGAGACUGUGGUGCCUGUUACUCCAGGGUUCUGAGUUCUGCUGGGACCUGUCGCCAAGGAAGUGAGGCCAUGUACUGGGGUCCAUAGGAUGAGCCUCCUGGUCUGGAACCCAAAGCUUCUGCAGUUCCUCUUGCAUGUGGGCGUUAGUCAACACACCUUGCAUGGGAUUGACCAUCAUGUAGACAUUGGCAUACUGGACAAGAGCCUAGAAGGCACUCCUGGACAUCCCAGUAUCCUUGAACACCAGUACAGUCUGGAUUAACCCUCUAUUGACUGCUGUUCUGUUACACCUAACCAGUCAUAAGAACAAGACCAAGAAGGUUCAAUGCAAUUCCAAUUGAAAUCCCAGCAGCAUACUUCAUAGACCUUGAGAAA